UACGUAGGGUGCGAGCGUUAAUCGGAAUUACUGGGCGUAAAGUGUGCGCAGGUGGCCGCGCAAGUCGAGUGUGAAAUCCCCCGGCUCAACCGAGGAAUUGCGCUUCAAACCGGCGUGCUUGAGGAAGAUAGAGGUGGGCGGAACUGAUGGUGGAGCGGUGAAAUGCGUUGAUAUCAUCAGGAACACCGGAGGCGAAGGCGGCCCACUGGGUCUUUUCUGACGCUGAGGGACGAAAGCUAGGGGAGCGAACGGG
rnacentral:rRNA from 1 species